AAUUUCCCUGUGUUUCAAGGAUCCUUGACUUGUAAUCAGGGGGUGGCGGGUUCAAGUCCUGCAGCCAGCACCA
rnacentral:tRNA from 1 species